UAACUUACCUGGCAGGGGGAAUGCCACCAUAAAGAAGGUGGUUUCCCCAGGAGAGGCUCUUUGCACUGCCCUUCAUUUGGGCUGACCCCUGUGAUUUCCCCAGAUGUGGGAAACUCAGCUGCAUAAUUUAUGGUAGUAAGUAUGGUAUUCUUGUACAGAUUUCUA